AUAUUUGUUUUAAACAAAACAUAUCCUCGAAGUUUUCAGUGGCUGCCCUGUAUGAGUCCGCCCAAUGGUCUGUUUACAUGGUUCUGUGUGUACAGGGUAUAUAUUCCGUCCAUUAUUUAUUAACAUAGAAUAUUUAUACACUUUAACAGUAUUGAUAUGUCUGGGUUAUUUACAGCUGGUAUUUAUUUUUUUUUACCUUGAAAUGUAUAACAUUUGUUUUAAGACUUAGUUUAUUGACAACAUUUUAUCUUGGGCUUCGACUUAAAGGUCAAUAUUAAUAAGAAAAUUUGUCAUUAUGGAAUUUUAUAUAUAAAUCGCUUUAUAUGUGCUCAACAAGAUAUUUAUCUUCAUAAUCCAUUUUAUUUGAAUAUACAAUCUUUAAUAUAACAAUGGUGGUAAAUUGUUUGCAUUUAGUUUUUUUAGUUGUAUUUAUUGUCAUAUUAAUUCAUUUUUGUGAGUUUCCACUGCAAUAUUUGUAUGUUUGUAUGUCUUCAUGCAUAUCAUUACUAUGAUGCAAAUAUGUAAGUAUUAAUUUAUUUAUGUUUUGUAUUCUCUAUGUUGGAAUUUGUUAAAGUUCUCGUUAUAUAUAGCAGCUUAGUCAUACGAUGGCUAACACAGUGAAUUAAACACUUUAAACUAG
rnacentral:misc_RNA from 1 species